GAUGAACGCUAGCUACAGGCUUAACACAUGCAAGUCGAGGGGCAUCAGGAACAAAGCUUGCUUUGUUUGCUGGCGACCGGCGCACGGGUGCGUAACGCGUAUCGAACCUGCCCUAUACUCGGGGAUAGCCUUGCGAAAGUAAGAUUAAUACCCGAUGUUGUUAUUACAUCGCAUGAUGUUUUAACCAAAGAUUUAUCGGUAUAGGAUGGCGAUGCGUGACAUUAGGUAGUAGGUGAGGUAACGGCUCACCUAGCCUACGAUGUCUAGGGGUUCUGAGAGGAAGGUCCCCCACACUGGAACUGAGACACGGUCCAGACUCCUACGGGAGGCAGCAGUGAGGAAUAUUGGUCAAUGGUCGAGAGACUGAACCAGCCAAGUAGCGUGCAGGAUGACGGCCCUCUGGGUUGUAAACUGCUUUUAGUUGGGAAUAAAAAGGGAGUACCGUGUACUCUGUAUUGUAUGUACCAUCAGAAAAAAGGACCGGCUUAAUUCCGUGCCAGCAG
rnacentral:rRNA from 1 species